rnacentral:rRNA from 1 species
CGGCUCAGUAACACGUGGACAACCUACCCUUAGGUCGGGGAUAAACCCGGGAAACUGGGUAUAAUACCCGAUAGAUCUCGACUGCUGGAAUGCAUCGAGAUCCAAAGCUCCGGCGCCUAAGGAUGGGUCUGCGGCCUAUCAGGUAGUAGUGGGUGUAGCGUACCUACUAGCCUACGACGGGUACGGGUUGUGAGAGCAAGAGCCCGGAGAUGGAUUCUGAGACACGAAUCCAGGCCCUACGGGGUGCAGCAGGCGCGAAAACUUUACAAUGCUGGAAACAGCGAUAAGGGGACCUCGAGUGCCAGGUUACAAAUCUGGCUGUCGUGAUGCCUAAAAAGCAUUGCAUAGCAAGGGCCGGGCAAGACCGGUGCCAGCCGCCGCGGUAACACCGGCGGCUCGAGUGGUAACCGUUAUUAUUGGGUCUAAAGGGUCUGUAGCCGGCCGGAUAAGUCUCUUGGGAAAUCCAGCAGCUCAACUGUUGGGCUUUCAGGAGAUACUGUCUGGCUCGAGGCCGGGAGAGGUGAGAGGUACUUCAGGGGUAGGGGUGAAAUCUUGUAAUCCUUGAAGGACCACCAGUGGCGAAGGCGUCUCACCAGAACGGACCUGACGGCAAGGGACGAAAGCUA